rnacentral:rRNA from 1 species
GACGAACGCUGGCGGCGUGCCUAACACAUGCAAGUCGAGCGGGGAUUUAAGUGGAAGUUCUUCGGAAUGGAGAUUUAAAUUCUAGCGGCGGACGGGUGAGUAACGCGUGAACAAUCUGUCCCGGACAGGGGGAUAACACUUGGAAACAGGUGCUAAUACCGCAUAAGACCACGGCCUCGCAUGGGGCUGAGGUAAAAGGAGCAAUCCGGUUCGGGGUGAGUUCGCGUCCGAUUAGCUAGUUGGUGAGGUAACGGCCCACCAAGGCGACGAUCGGUAGCCGGCCUGAGAGGGUGAACGGCCACAUUGGAACUGAGAGACGGUCCAAACUCCUACGGAGGCAGCAGUGGGGAAUAUUGGGCAAUGGGCGAAAGCCUGACCCAGCAACGCCGCGUGAGGGAAGAAGGUUUUCGGAUUGUAAACCUCUGUCCUAUGGGACGAAGGAAGUGACGGUACCAUAGGAGGAAGCCCCGGCUAACUACGUG